GACGAACGCUGGCGGCGUGCUUAACACAUGCAAGUCGAACGAUGAUCCGGUGCUUGCACCGGGGAUUAGUGGCGAACGGGUGAGUAACACGUGAGUAACCUGCCCUUGACUCUGGGAUAAGCCUGGGAAACCGGGUCUAAUACCGGAUACGACCUGUCACCGCAUGGUGGUGGGUGGAAAGAUUUUUUGGUUUUGGAUGGACUCGCGGCCUAUCAGCUUGUUGGUGAGGUAAUGGCUCACCAAGGCGACGACGGGUAGCCGGCCUGAGAGGGUGACCGGCCACACUGGGACUGAGACACGGCCCAGACUCCUACGGGAGGCAGCAGUGGGGAAUAUUGCACAAUGGGCGAAAGCCUGAUGCAGCGACGCCGCGUGAGGGAUGACGGCCUUCGGGUUGUAAACCUCUUUCAGCAGGGAAGAAGCGAAAGUGACGGUACCUGCAGAAGAAGCGCCGGCUAACUACGUGCCAGCAGCCGCGGUAAUACGUAGGGCGCAAGCGUUGUCCGGAAUUAUUGGGCGUAAAGAGCUCGUAGGCGGUUUGUCGCGUCUGCUGUGAAAGCCCGGGGCUCAACCCCGGGUCUGCAGUGGGUACGGGCAGACUAGAGUGCAGUAGGGGGAGACUGGAAUUCCUGGUGUAGCGGUGAAAUGCGCAGAUAUCAGGAGGAACACCCGAUGGCGAAGGCAGGUCUCUGGGCUGUAACUGACGCUGAGGAGCGAAAGCAUGGGGAGCGAACAGGAUUAGAUACCCUGGUAGUCCAUGCCGUAAACGUUGGGCACUAGGUGUGGGGGACAUUCCACGUUUUCCGCGCCGUAGCUAACGCAUUAAGUGCCCCGCCUGGGGAGUACGGCCGCAAGGCUAAAACUCAAAGGAAUUGACGGGGGCCCGCACAAGCGGCGGAGCAUGCGGAUUAAUUCGAUGCAACGCGAAGAACCUUACCAAGGCUUGACAUGGACCGGACCGCCGCAGAAAUGCGGUUUCCCUUCGGGGCUGGUUUACAGGUGGUGCAUGGUUGUCGUCAGCUCGUGUCGUGAGAUGUUGGGUUAAGUCCCGCAACGAGCGCAACCCUCGUUCUAUGUUGCCAGCGCGUUAUGGCGGGGACUCAUAGGAGACUGCCGGGGUCAACUCGGAGGAAGGUGGGGACGACGUCAAAUCAUCAUGCCCCUUAUGUCUUGGGCUUCACGCAUGCUACAAUGGCCGGUACAAAGGGUUGCGAUACUGUGAGGUGGAGCUAAUCCCAAAAAGCCGGUCUCAGUUCGGAUUGAGGUCUGCAACUCGACCUCAUGAAGUCGGAGUCGCUAGUAAUCGCAGAUCAGCAACGCUGCGGUGAAUACGUUCCCGGGCCUUGUACACACCGCCCGUCAAGUCACGAAAGUUGGUAACACCCGAAGCCGGUGGCCUAACCCCUUGUGGGAGGGAGCCGUCGAAGGUGGGACCGGCGAUUGGG
rnacentral:rRNA from 1 species